rnacentral:rRNA from 1 species
GGCUUAGAGUUUGAUCAUGGCUCAGGAUGAACGCUGGCGGCGUGCCUAACACAUGCAAGUCGAGCGAAGCACUUUGCUUUGAAUCUUUCGGGAGGACGAGUGAUUUGACUGAGCGGCGGACGGGUGAGUAACGCGUGGGCAACCUGCCUCACACAGGGGGAUAACAGUUAGAAAUGACUGCUAAUACCGCAUAAGGCCACAGCACCGCAUGGUGCAGGGGUAAAAACUCCGGUGGUGUGAGAUGGGCCCGCGUCUGAUUAGGUAGUUGGUGAGGUAACGGCUCACCAAGCCGACGAUCAGUAGCCGACCUGAGAGGGUGACCGGCCACAUUGGGACUGAGACACGGCCCAAACUCCUACGGGAGGCAGCAGCGGGGAAUAUUGCACAAUGGGGGAAACCCUGAUGCAGCGACGCCGCGUGAGCGAUGAAGUAUUUCGGUAUGUAAAGCUCUAUCAGCAGGGAAGAAACUGACGGUACCUGACUAAGAAGCACCGGCUAAAUACGUGCCAGCAGCCGCGGUAAUACGUAUGGUGCAAGCGUUAUCCGGAUUUACUGGGUGUAAAGGGAGCGUAGACGGACUUGCAAGUCUGAAGUGAAAGCCCGGGGCUCAACCCCGGGACUGCUUUGGAAACUGUAGGUCUAGAGUGCUGGAGAGGUAAGUG